AUUGAACGCUAGCGGGAUGCUUUACACAUGCAAGUCGAACGGCAGCGCGGACUUUGGUCUGGCGGCGAGUGGCGCACGGGUGAGUAAUGUAUCUGAAAGCGCCCAGUAGCGGGGGAGAACUACGCGAAAGCGUAGCUAAUACCGCAUACGCCCUACGGGGGAAAGCAGGGGAUAGUAAGACCUUUCACUCUUUGAGCGGCCGAUAUCGGAUUAGCUAGUUGGUGAGGUAACGGCUCACCAAGGCGACGAUCCGUAGCUGGUUUGAGAGGACGACCAGCCACACUGGGACUGAGACACGGCCCAGACUCCUACGGGAGGCAGCAGUGGGGAAUUUUGGACAAUGGGGGCAACCCUGAUCCAGCCAUCCCGCGUGUGCGAUGAAGGCCUUCGGGUUGUAAAGCACUUUUGGCAGGAAAGAAACGUCGCGGGCUAAUACCCCGGGGAACUGACGGUACCUGCAGAAUAAGCACCGGCUAACUACGUG
rnacentral:rRNA from 1 species